AGUGAACGCCGGCGGCGCGCCUAAUACAUGCAAGUCGAAGGUAGCGGCACAAGGGUGAGUAACAUAUAGCUAAUUCGCCCUUUGCUGGAGGACAACAGUUAGAAAUGACUGCUAAUACUCCAUAGCAAGGGAUGAGACUAGAUCGUAUCAGCCAGUCGGUGGGGUAACGGCCUACCGAGGCUAUGACGCGUAACUGGUCUGAGAGGAUGAUCAGUCACAUUGGAACUGAGACACGGUCCAAACGCCUACGGGAGGCAGCAGUAGGGAAUAUGGCUCAAUGGGGGGAUACCUGACGCAGCAACGCCUCGACGAAGAUUACAGUUGGCGGAGCAAAAACUCUUUAAGAGAGAGAGACGGGACCAGGAGAGGAAGCGCCGGCUAGCUCCGUGGCAGCCGCCGCGGUAAUAC
rnacentral:rRNA from 1 species